CGGCGUGCUUAAUACAUGCAAGUCAACUUGACUUUAGAUAGCAAUAUCGAAAAGUAGGGUGGCGCACGGGUGCGUAACGCGUAGGUAAUCUGCCCUGAGGUCUGACAUAACCCGUCGAAAGGCGGGCUAACAUCAGAUGAUAUAUAAUCACGACAUCGUGGAAAUAUCAAAUCUUCGGAGCCUUGGGAUGAGCCUGCGUCUGAUUAGGUAGUUGGCGGAGUAAUAGCCCACCAAGCCUACGAUCAGUAGCUGGUCUGAGAGGAUGAUCAGCCACACUGGAACUGAGACACGGUCCAGACUCCUACGGGAGGCAGCAGUAAGGAAUAUUGCUCAAUGGGGGGAAACCCUGAAGCAGCAACGCCGCGUGAAGGAUGAAAUACUUUUGUAUGUAAACUUCUGUAAGAUGGGAAAAAUAUUCUCCUCGGGAGAAUUGAUUGUACCAUCAGAGUAAGCCCCGGCUAACUACGUG
rnacentral:rRNA from 1 species